rnacentral:rRNA from 1 species
AUGUGGUACAUACUAAAACUAGAACAAGCAUUAUCAGAUGCAUGUUUUGUAGACAGGUCAGGUUCGGCUAUCUUGGAGGAGUUGUUGGAUUCCUCAACGAGUCAUUACCCUGAUCUACCUCAGGUAGGGAUUGCGGAGGUUGUGGCGAUCGCAACAUGUACAUCUGGUGGAUCAGACGGACAAUCACACACAAGGAAUGGACACCCUCAGCAACGAAUUGGAAGUUAUCUGUUCUGUCCCUAUGCACAAACUUCACCAAAACAGCUCAGAGCAAUUUCCUUGCAGGUGCAUGUUUUUAUGUUCCACUCUCAUCAUCGGCCACGGGCAAUGAAAAAAGGCCUUGAACUGGUGGCAUCUUUGGGCUAUCACCAAAUCGUUGUUGAAUCUGAUUGUUUGGAGAUGAUUGAAGCUUGCAAAGGAGGACAAACAUGA